rnacentral:rRNA from 1 species
UGGGGAAUUUUGGACAAUGGGCGCAAGCCUGAUCCAGCAAUGCCGCGUGAGUGAAGAAGGCCUUCGGGUUGUAAAGCUCUUUCAGUUGAGAAGAAAAAAUUGUGACUAAUAAUCACAAUUGAUGACGGUAUCAACAGAAGAAGCACCGGCUAACUACGUGCCAGCAGCCGCGGUAAUACGUAGGGUGCGAGCGUUAAUCGGAAUUACUGGGCGUAAAGGGUGCGCAGGCGGUUUUGUAAGUCAGAUGUGAAAUCCCCGGGCUUAACCUGGGAAUUGCGUUUGAAACUACAAAACUAGAGUGUAGCAGAGGGAGGUGGAAUUCCAUGUGUAGCAGUGAAAUGCGUAGAGAU